rnacentral:rRNA from 1 species
UACGUAGGGGGCAAGCGUUGUCCGGAAUUACUGGGCGUAAAGGGCGUGUAGGCGGCCUUUUAAGUCAGACGUGAAAUCCAUGGGCUUAACCCAUGAAUUGCGUUUGAAACUGGAGGGCUUGAGGAUCGGAGAGGGCAGUGGAAUUCCCAGUGUAGCGGUGAAAUGCGUAGAUAUUGGGAGGAACACCAGUGGCGAAGGCGACUGCCUGGACGACACCUGACGCUGAGGCGCGAAAGCUAGGGGAGCAAACGGG